GCCAUGACUCAGUGGUAGAGUGUCUGUUUUGCAUGCAGAAGGUCUUAGGUUCUAUCCCCAGUAUCUCUU
rnacentral:tRNA from 1 species